rnacentral:tRNA from 1 species
UCCUUGGUGGCUCAGAUGGUAAAGCGUCUGCCUACAGUGCGGGAGACCCAGGUUCAAUCCCUGGGUUGGGAA